rnacentral:rRNA from 1 species
CGAAGAGAAAUCGAGUCCGAAUAGGGCGUCUAGUCGCUGGGUGUAGACCCGAAACCAAGUGAUCUAUCCAUGGCCAGGAUGAAAGGUGCGGUAACACGCACUGGAGGUCCGAACCGACUAAUGUUGCAAAAUUUAGCGGAUGAGCUGUGGAUAGGGGUGAAAAGGCUAAAACAAACUUGGAAAUAGCUGGUUCUCUCCGAAAACUAUUUAGGUAGUGCCUCAAGUAUUACCAUCGGGGGUAGAGCACUGUUAUGGCUAGGGGGUCAUGGCGACUUACCAAACCAUUGCAAAACUCCGAAUACCGAUGAGUACAGCUUGGGAGACAGUGCACCGGGUGCUAACGUCCGGACACAAGAGGGGAAACAACCCCAGACCGCCAGCUAAGGUCCCUAAAAAUUGGCUAAAGUGGG